AACGAACGCUGGCGGCAUGCCUAACACAUGCAAGUCGAACGAGACCUUCGGGUCUAGUGGCGCACGGGUGCGUAACGCGUGGGAACCUGCCCUUAGGUUCGGAAUAACUCCCCGAAAGGGGUGCUAAUACCGGAUAAUGUCUUCGGACCAAAGAUUUAUCGCCUUUGGAUGGGCCCGCGUUGGAUUAGCUAGUUGGUAGGGUAAAAGCCUACCAAGGCGACGAUCCAUAGCUGGUCUGAGAGGAUGAUCAGCCACACUGGGACUGGGACACGGCCCAGACUCCUACGAGGGGCAGCAGUGGGGAAUAUUGGACAAUGGGCGAGAGCAUGAUCCAGCAAGGCCGCGUGGGUGAUGAAGGCCUUAGGGUUGUAAAGCUCUUUUACCCGGGAUGAUAAUGACAGUACCGGGAGAAUAAGCUCCGGCUAACUCCGUG
rnacentral:rRNA from 1 species